rnacentral:rRNA from 1 species
UACGUAGGGUGCAAGCGUUGUCCGGAAUUAUUGGGCGUAAAGAGCUCGUAGGCGGUCUGUUGCGUCGGCUGUGAAAACCCGGGGCUCAACUCCGGGCCUGCAGCCGAUACGGGCAGACUAGAGUUCGGCAGGGGAGACUGGAAUUCCUGGUGUAGCGGUGAAAUGCGCAGAUAUCAGGAGGAACACCGGUGGCGAAGGCGGGUCUCUGGGCCAAUACUGACGCUGAGGAGCGAAAGCGUGGGGAGCGAACAGG